AAUUUUGUGUGUGUGUGAUGGAGUCAGGGUUUUGGAACUGUGACCUCUCUUUUUGUGUUUCAGAACUGGUCUCUCCUACUGUGGGUUUUUUUUAAAGAUUGGCACCUGAGCUAACAUCUGUUGCCAAUCUUUUUUUUUUUCCUUCUUCUUCUUCUCCCCAAAGCUCCCCCAGCACAUGGUUGUGUAUUCUAGUUGUGAGUGCCUAUGGUUGUGCUGUGUGGGACGUGCCUCAGCAUGGCUUGAUGAGGGUGCCAUGUCCGCGCACAGGAUCCGAACCAGCGAAACCCUGGGCUGCUGAAGUGGAGCGCGCGAACUUAACUGCUCGGCCACGGGGCUGGCCCCUGUGGCUUUUUCUUUUUACAAAGGUAUUCUUUUACAUUCAGACGUGGAGCACGAACUCUACCAGUGCAUCCAUAUGAUAUAGAAAAAGACUGGCAAAACAUCCUUUAAAAUAUGACUGACAGCAGGAAUAACUGGUGUAUUUCUGGUUUACCCUGUUAACUGGGAAUAGAAUUAACUGGAGCAGGGCGUUGUCUGAACAUUCUACUCCACGGCAUUUUCACAAUGGUGUUGUUUACCAGGCCCUCUGAUAAGGGAAGAAUACACAGGAAAAUGCAGAUUCUGAUGAAUAAGGACUGAGACACAACACAAGUGGUCAAAUUGUCCCUAUUUCCCCCAUCCCCCUCACAAAAGACGUAAAAUCACAAAGAAUCUACCACCAGCACUGCCGCCACCAAGCAACCGGAAUGCCGAGGAGUCUGGAUGACCCAUCCACAGACUUUAGAAUUGCCUCAGCUUGGCCUAAGUGUGUCCUGCCCAGGAAACUCCACACCAGUAGGAUUAUGCCCUAUUGCGUGUUGCUGCAUCCCAGGAUGGAGCCUACGGAGCACGACGACUGUCACAGAGCAGGCGCUCCAUAAAUAUCUGUGGAAUGAAGGAAGCAAGAUGGGAUCCCACCGGCCCCAAGGCUUUGUUGAAUGGAACCGUGAGUGAGAAUGUAAACUCUCGAGCCCAAGGCUUUCCACGGAAUUCCCUUUGGACUGGUUCAUUCUUUUUGCUCAACAUGAGAAAACAGCAGGAGUUAUUGGUUGGACUGCGUGAUGAGCCAGAUUGUCUGGGGGCAAGGCAGGCUGGGUAGGGGAGAGGAAACAACCCUAUGGACU
rnacentral:lncRNA from 1 species